rnacentral:rRNA from 1 species
CAGCCGCCUCGGUAAUACGAAGGGUGCAAGCGUUACUCGGAAUUACUGGGCGUAAAGCGUGCGUAGGUGGUGGUUUAAGUCCGUUGUGAAAGCCCUGGGCUCAACCUGGGAAUUGCAGUGGAUACUGGGUCACUAGAGUGUGGUAGAGGAUAGUGGAAUUUCCGGUGUAGCAGUGAAAUGCGUAGAGAUCGGAAGGAACAUCUGUGGCGAAGGCGACUAUCUGGGCCAACACUGACACUGAGGCACGAAAGCGUGGGGAGCAAACAGGAUUAGAUACCCCAGUAGUCCCUGUCUCUUAUAC